UACGUAGGGUGCAAGCGUUAAUCGGAAUUACUGGGCGUAAAGCGUGCGCAGGCGGUUCUAUAAGACAGAUGUGAAAUCCCCGGGCUCAACCUGGGAACUGCAUUUGUGACUGUAGAGCUGGAGUACGGCAGAGGGGGAUGGAAUUCCGCGUGUAGCAGUGAAAUGCGUAGAUAUGCGGAGGACACGAUGGCGAAGGCAAUCCCCUGGGCCUGUACUGACGCUCAUGCACGAAAGCGUGGGGAGCAAACAGG
rnacentral:rRNA from 1 species